CAAGGACCCAGCAUUAUGUAUGACACAUCUGGUGCUGGUUUUAACUCGCGUUCUCCCACUUCAGAAAAUCUGACGAUGGAAGAGCUAGGAAAGGAAUACAAUUCAGUCUUAGAGAAAUUGGUACCAGGAGUAAAAUCAUUGUGAUAUUAGCAAAUGGAAUAUUCUACAAGGAAGAGAGACAGAGCAAGCAAGGUUAUUCCUAGAGGAGUCAUCAUCUGGUGCAUUGUAUGAUGUAGGAAACAGGUGGCAAACAGGCAGAUGUUGUAGCUGCUCAUCCCACCUGUACUGUUGGAGUGCCUGUUACCAGCUGAGGACUUCUUCCAGCAAUUACAUUUGGUUGCAAAGAACGAAUGGGUGAGUGAUGUGGAUUUUUGCCUAUUUCAGGGUCUUUAUUAUACAUGUGUGCUUUUGCAGUACCAGCUUGUUUACCAGAUUUCUCCUGCUGUUUCCUCGGCGAAAAGCAGUCCUAGUGGCCUUGUCACAUUCUUGUUAUCUAUGAGCCUGUCAUAGAGUGUAAAAAAAACCCAAAAAAACAAAAAAACAAAAAAACCUAAAAUCCUGAAAGA